AAAUCAACUAGUAACAAUGUUCAUUUCUAGCUGAAGUCGUCGAUCAUUUAAUUAAAAAUUAGAUCACAAUUAACUAUGAACAAGGGAAUUCUAAGCAAUUCUCGGGGCUCAAAUAUGCACCUAUAAAACCAAAACCUCAAAUAAAGCAACUAUGUUAUUGUCCAAUUUCAAUAUCUAUCCAUCCCAGCCAGCGUGAAUUAUAAAAUCAAACCUCAUACAAUACUGAAUGCCCAGAUUAGCAAACCAAUAUUUGCACCCAAAAACUUAUAUAACAACAACACAUAUGUGUGCGUGUUUAUCAAAGAGCUAUCAAUACAAUACCUCGCCAAACAAUGCAAGUGCCAG
rnacentral:misc_RNA from 1 species